CAACUAUGCUACUUUAGCCUGUUAUGCUAUUUCACCAUUACACUACAGUAUUUCAUUAUGACACCUCUGUUUUUUGAUUUCACCAUUUUCCUAUCAUGGUAUGGUUAAAGCACUGCUGGCUGAGUAAUAUCCAGUUCUUUAGAAGGGUUGAGGAUGUGGCAGUAGCACAAAUGCUGGGGAGAAAUUGACAGUGAUGAUUCUGUACUGUCAUUCCUGAUUUUAAAUCAAAGUGGAGUAUAGUUGAACAAAUAGUUUGGUCUUCAGUAGAGAAAAUUGUAGACUCAGAGCUUGGAUUCCAUGGCAGGAGAAGCUUCUGGGGAAAAGAUCUCAAGCUGGGAAGAAAUUCCUAAAGGGGAGAUAACCAAAAAGAAGAAAAAUAGAGGACAACAACAACAACAACAACAACAACAACAAGAAAGCUCACAAGGCUGCACAAACUACUUGACGAAAUCUGAGAGCAAAAAUAGAUACACCCAGGAUCGAAAAGAAGAACAGAACAUCAAGAGUGUGAAUAAUAAUAUCACACAUGAUGAAAUGGAUAUAGGGUCUCCUGCUUGGGUAUAGGGCAGUUGGACUAGAAGACCUCCAAGGUCUAUUCCAAUAUCCUUUUAGUCUAUAUAUUCCAUAUGUUACAACGUAUAAGUGCAAGUAAAGCACAGAAAUAAAAAGGAGCAGGAAAACAAAAACUGCUUGAAGACCCUGGAGGGAUUGAAAAAAGAUAUGGAAACCAGACUGAUAUUUGAUACGAGGGGAAGCAAUAUACAGGAAAAUUGGGACGCAGGGACACAUGCAUUAUACACCUCCCACCUUUUUUCCCUUUGCCAAUCUACUAAAAAGGACACCUGCGUCAAUGAAUGAAGUGCCCAGCUUUAUAUAUCUGCCUAGACAUCAGAAUAAAAUAUAUUGAGAAGCAGUUUCCCCCCCUGGAUUUGAGUAAAGAACUGGUGUGGGCACAAUUCCAUCCAACUGGGUCAACAGGAUGAAGAUGGCCAAGUCUGGCAGCCAAUUAUUUCUGUAGAAUGGGACAUUUUUAAACCCGUAUUUGUAGCUAUGAUUGACCGUAUAAUGCCAAGGAAAUUAGGUAAUACAAAAAAAAAAAAAAUGGAAGAGACAGCAGAGGAGGAGCUAAGGAAAAGUAAGACCUGCACAACAACUUGAAGGACAUGGUUUGUAGCUUGAUGAAUUGUAGUCGAGAAAUUUGCUGGUGAAAGACAGAGAAAAAAUGACCCUAAGCAGGUACAACAUUUCUAGUAAAAGCCCGCUCAGUUUCACCAGGUUUGGAAUAAAUGAAUUUCUAGAAUGGCAAAAGAAAUCCUGGAUCUUGUGAAUUUUGACCCCCCUCCUGCAGUUUCACUCUCAGAUCUGUUGAGCAGAUUCCCCUGAGCAAAUGUUA